rfam:Triticum aestivum genome assembly, contig: Triticum_aestivum_CS42_TGACv1_scaffold_434377_5DL
GAUCUACUCCUUCCGUCCCGAGUUAUUUGUCUUAGAUUUGUCUAGACAUGGAUGUAUUUAGACAUUUUUUAGUAUUAAAUACAUCCGCAUCCAGAAGAAAAUGUAAAACAAGUAGUUUUGGAUGGAGAUAAUAUUAU